rnacentral:SRP_RNA from 1 species
GCCGGGCGUGGUGGCUCAUGCCUGUAAUCCCAGCACUUUGGGAGGCCGAGGCGGGUGGAUCACCUGAGGCCAGGAGUUCAAGACCAGCCUGGCCAACAUGGUGAAACCCCAUCUCUA